rnacentral:misc_RNA from 1 species
UCCAGGUCGCCUCCUUACUCUCCUCCUCCUUAUGGCGGCAGCCCGGAUAGGAGGUAUCCUCGUGGCUCUAGGUGAGGCCGGUUUUAAUGUACUUUCGAGGUUGCUGUUAGUUAAGGACCACGGUGGAUGGUUGUUUGUGUACUCGAAUGUUUGUAUCUGCCUCAUAGUUGUAAGCAGUCGAACUGGCCGAAUGUUAUCAUCAUUUUGCUCUUUUAGUUCGUUCUCUAGUGAACAAUAUGGUUAUAAAUAUUGGUUUGUG